rnacentral:rRNA from 1 species
AUUUUUCGNUGCCGCUGGCGGCAUUUCUAACACAUGCCAGUCGAGCGGAAACGACUUAACUGAACCUUCGGGGGACGUUAAGGGCGUCGAGCGGCGGACGGGUGAGUAAUGCUUAGGGAUCUGCCCAGUCGUGGGGGAUAACAGUUGGAAACGACUGCUAAUACCGCAUACGCCCUACGGGGGAAAGGAGGGGACCUUCGGGCCUUUCGCGAUUGGAUGAACCUAAGUGAGAUUAGCUAGUUGGUGAGGUAAUGGCUCACCAAGGCGACGAUCUCUAGCUGGUCUGAGAGGAUGAUCAGCCACACUGGAACUGAGACACGGUCCAGACUCCUACGGGAGGCAGCAGUGGGGAAUAUUGCACAAUGGGCGAAAGCCUGAUGCAGCCAUGCCGCGUGUGUGAAGAAGGCUCUAGGGUUGUAAAGCACUUUCAGCGAGGAGGAAAGGUUGAUGAUUAAUACUCAUUAGCUGUGACGUUACUCGUAGAAGAACCACCC